CCUACGGGAGGCUGCAGUGGGGAAUAUUGGACAAUGGGGGGAACCCUGAUCCAGCCAUGCCGCGUGUGUGAAGAAGGCCCUCGGGUUGUAAAGCACUUUCAGUGAGGAAGAACGCCUGGUGGUUAAUACCCAUCAGGAAAGACAUCACUCACAGAAGAAGCACCGGCUAACUCCGUGCCAGCAGCCGCGGUAAUACGGAGGGUGCGAGCGUUAAUCGGAAUUACUGGGCGUAAAGCGCGCGUAGGUGGCUUGAUAAGCCGGUUGUGAAAGCCCCGGGCUCAACCUGGGAACGGCAUCCGGAACUGUCACGCUAGAGUGAAGGAGAGGAAGGUAGAAUUCCCGGUGUAGCGGUGAAAUGCGUAGAGAUCGGGAGGAAUACCAGUGGCGAAGGCGGCCUUCUGGACUGACACUGACACUGAGGUGCGAAAGCGUGGGUAGCAAACAGGAUUAGAUACCCGAGUAGUC
rnacentral:rRNA from 1 species